GACGAACGCUGGCGGCGUGCUUAACACAUGCAAGUCGAACGGAAAGGCUCCAGCUUGCUGGAGUACUCGAGUGGCGAACGGGUGAGUAACACGUGGGUAAUCUGCCCUGCACUCUGGGAUAAGCCUGGGAAACUGGGUCUAUUACUGGAUUUGACCUUUCCCCUUAUGGGGUUGGGGGAAAAGUUUUUCGGUGUGGGAUGAGCCCGCGGCCUAUCAGCUUGUUGGUGGGGUGAUGGCCUACCAAGGCGACGACGGGUAGCCGGCCUGAGAGGGUGAUCGGCCACAUUGGGACUGAGAUACGGCCCAGACUCCUACGGGAGGCAGCAGUGGGGAAUAUUGCACAAUGGGCGGAAGCCUGAUGCAGCGACGCCGCGUGAGGGAUGACGGCCUUCGGGUUGUAAACCUCUUUCAGCAGGGACGAAGCGUAAGUGACGGUACCUGCAGAAGAAGCACCGGCUAACUAUGUG
rnacentral:rRNA from 1 species